rnacentral:rRNA from 1 species
UACAGAGGCCUCGAGCGUUAGGCGGAAUCACUGGGCUUAGAGCGUGUGUAGGCGGAUCGUUAAGUGCCUUGUGAAAUCCCACGGCUCAACCGUGGAACUGCUUGGCAUACUGGCGGUCUUGAGCAACCUAGGGGCGAGCGGAACAAAUGGUGGAGCGGUGAAAUGCGUAGAUAUCAUUUGGAACGCCAAUGGUGAAAACAGCUCGCUGGGGGUUUGCUGACGCUGAGACACGAAAGCCAGGGGAGCAAACGGG